UUCUCCCUCUCUCACACACACACAUCAAAACCCCCAAACCCGACGUGUCAAUUUUGCAGUUCGCCACCGGAUCUCCCUCAAAAAACCCUAAUUGUUCCUCCCCAAAUCGGACCCUGCCGCCUCUCCUGUCUCGUUUCAAAAAUCCUAAUACCCUCAUCAAAGGAAUGUGCUUCCCCUUCAACCUUACCGAGCUUUGCCCUUAACUCUAGGCGGUGAGAAUCAUUCGGAGCGCAAGUGAGGGGAGCAUGACAAUUGCAGAUAAUGAUGCAAAUGAUAGGCCAUGGAAAACAUCAGAUGCUAGACUUGUUCUUGAAGAUGGUUUCAUAUGGAGGGCCAAAUCAUUUGGUGCUUCCGGAACACAAGUCGGUGAAGUGGUGUUCAACACAUCUUUGACUGGGUAUCAAGAAAUUUUAACAGACCCCAGCUAUGCCGGUCAAUUUGUCUUAAUGACAAACACUCACAUUGGGAACACGGGUGUCAACAUUGAUGAUGAAGAGUCCAAACAAUGCUUCCUAGCUGGCCUGGUGAUCAGAAGCCUAAGUAUCUGGGUUUGAUUAGUGGAGUCUCAUGCACUGCUCCAUACGAAUGGACUGGGAACACAGGCUCAGUAUGGGAUUUCAGCAAUGGUCAGAACCACGAGGAAGCUUUUCAUGUUGUUGCCUAUGAUUUCGGUAUCAAACAUAAUAUCUUAAGGCGCCUGACAUCUUAUGGAUGCAAAAUCACACUUGUGCCAUCAACAUGGCCUUCUGCAGAAACACUCGAAUGACAGGGGUUAGAGUUAGUGCACGUCUUCAGCAACAAAGUGCUAAUGAUCAGCUAGUGGUAAACAUCAUAGCUGAAGAGUGAGAUGAUAAUGUGAUGUCAGAUAUUAAUCAGGAUCCUCCUCCAGGUACAACCAAAAAGGUGCGAGGGAAGACAAGAGGAGUGAAUGCAGAUAAGGUAUUAAGGUGCGAGGGAAGACAAGAGGAGUGAAUGCAGAUAAGAUUCGCUCAAAGAAGAAUGUUCUUAAUAGGUCAAAGUUGACAUAUUACCACAAAGCUGGGUCAAAAUCAUUUAUGUCACACCAAGAGUAAAUUGCAGCACAGACUGGAGAGAUGCAAGGUGGAAUUGAUCGUUUUGAAACAGAGUAUAGAAGCACAAAAAAGGAUGAGACUUAGGAGCAAAGGAAAAAUGGGAUCAAUUGAUAAAGAUGUGAACAGAUACCACUCAACCUAAUGGAACUCGAACAAUGACAAAUGAGGAAAUUUGUGCAAAAGUUCUCAAAGUCAAAUCAGGCUACAUUAAGGGCUCUGGUUUUGGCCCUAGACCACCACCAUUAAGGUUUUCUCGUUCUUCGAUGAGUGAAAUGUCUGAAAAGAAUAAAGAGUUGCAAGAACAGCUUUAAGAGACCCAACAACUUAUAGGAACUCAACAACAAAAGAUCGAUGCGUAAAAUGAGGUAAUCCAAAGAUUGGAGGAACAAGCCAAAAAGUUUGAGGAGUUUAUGGCUAUUUUUCCAGGCAACAUCCAUCAGCUUAGUAUUCUUAGUGAACUUGAACUUAGAGAAAUGUUUCUUUGAUCGUGUUGCAUUUGUUUUUGCUUUAGACUAGCAUUGUUACUUAUGGUAGAAACUUGCUUGCUUUAUUUAUUUUAAUUGUUUUGAUGUAAUAUGGUAACAGUUGAUGACAAUUAUUUAUGUUUUUAGCGUUUUUCUCG